rnacentral:rRNA from 1 species
AACGAACGCUGGCGGCAUGCCUAACACAUGCAAGUCGAACGAGACCUUCGGGUCUAGUGGCGCACGGGUGCGUAACGCGUGGGAACCUGCCCUUAGGUUCGGAAUAACUCCCCGAAAUGGGUGCUAAUACCGGAUAAUGUCUUCGGACCAAAGAUUUAUCGCCUUUGGAUGGGCCCGCGUUGGAUUAGCUAGUUGGUAGGGUAAAAGCCUACCAAGGCGACGAUCCAUAGCUGGUCUGAGAGGAUGAUCAGCCACACUGGGACCGAGACACGGCCCAGACUCCUACGGGAGGCAGCAGUGGGGAAUAUUGGACAAUGGGCGAAAGCCUGAUCCAGCAAUGCCGCGUGAGUGAUGAAGGCCUUAGGGUUGUAAAGCUCUUUUACCCGGGAUGAUAAUGACAGUACCGGGAGAAUAAGCUCCGGCUAACUCCGUG